GAUGAACGCUGGCGGCGUGCUUAACACAUGCAAGUCGAACGGAAAGGCCCAAGCUUGCUUGGGUACUCGAGUGGCGAACGGGUGAGUAACACGUGGGUGAUCUGCCCUGCACUUCGGGAUAAGCCUGGGAAACUGGGUCUAAUACCGGAUAGGACCACAUUUUGGAUGGUGUGGUGGAAAGUUUUUCGGUGUGGGAUGAGCUCGCGGCCUAUCAGCUUGUUGGUGGGGUAAUGGCCUACCAAGGCGUCGACGGGUAGCCGGCCUGAGAGGGUGUACGGCCACAUUGGGACUGAGAUACGGCCCAGACUCCUACGGGAGGCAGCAGUGGGGAAUAUUGCACAAUGGGCGCAAGCCUGAUGCAGCGACGCCGCGUGGGGGAUGACGGCCUUCGGGUUGUAAACUCCUUUCGCUAGGGACGAAGCGUUUUUGUGACAGUACCUGGAGAAGAAGCACCGGCUAACUACGUG
rnacentral:rRNA from 1 species